UACGUAGGGUGCAAGCGUUGUCCGGAAUUAUUGGGCGUAAAGAGCUCGUAGGCGGUUUGUCGCGUCUGCUGUGAAAACUCGGGGCUUAACUCCGGGCCUGCAGUGGGUACGGGCAGACUAGAGUGCGGUAGGGGAGACUGGAAUUCCUGGUGUAGCGGUGAAAUGCGCAGAUAUCAGGAGGAACACCGGUGGCGAAGGCGCCACUCUGGGCCGGUACUGACGCUGAGGAGCGAAAGCGUGGGUAGCAAACAGG
rnacentral:rRNA from 1 species